GACGAACGCUGGCGGCGUGCUUAACACAUGCAAGUCGAACGGUAAGGCCCUUCGGGGUACACGAGUGGCGAACGGGUGAGUAACACGUGGGUGAUCUGCCCUGCACUUCGGGAUAAGCCUGGGAAACUGGGUCUAAUACCGGAUAGGACUACUGCCUGCAUGGGUGGUGGUGGAAAGCUUUUGCGGUGUGGGAUGGGCCCGCGGCCUAUCAGCUUGUUGGUGGGGUGAUGGCCUACCAAGGCGACGACGGGUAGCCGGCCUGAGAGGGUGACCGGCCACACUGGGACUGAGGGACGGCCCAGACUCCUGCGGGAGGCAGCAGUGGGGAGUAGUGCACAAUGGGCGCAAGCCUGAUGCAGCGACGCCGCGUGAGGGAUGACGGCCUUCGGGUUGUAAGCCUCUUUCAGCACCGACGAAGCGCAAGUGACGGUAGGUGCAGAAGAAGGACCGGCCAACUACGUGCCAGCCGCCGCCGUAA
rnacentral:rRNA from 1 species